rnacentral:rRNA from 1 species
UACGGAGGAUGCGAGCGUUAUCCGGAUUUAUUGGGUUUAAAGGGUGCGUAGGCGGACUUUUAAGCGUGAGGUGAAAUGCCCGGGCUCAACCUGGGAACUGCCUCGCGAACUGGAGGUCUGGAAUGCCCCUGCCGUGGGAGGAAUGUGUGGUGUAGCGGUGAAAUGCAUAGAGAUCACACAGAACACCGAUUGCGAAGGCAUCUCACGAAGGGGUGAUUGACGCUGAGGCACGAAAGCGUGGGGAU